CCUACGGGUGGCAGCAGUGGGGAAUAUUGCACAAUGGGGGAAACCCUGAUGCAGCGACGCCGCGUGGGUGAAGAAGCACCUCGGCGUGUAAAGCCCUAUCAGCAGGGAAGAAAAUGACGGUACCUGAAGAAGAAGCCCCGGCUAACUACGUGCCAGCAGCCGCGGUAAUACGUAGGGGGCCAGCGUUAUCCGGAUUUACUGGGUGUAAAGGGGGCGCAGACGGCGAUGCAAGCCUGGAGUGAAAGCCCGGGGCCUAACCCCGGGACUGCUUUUGAAACUGGGUGGCUGGAGUGGAGGAGGGGUAGGCGGAAUUCGUGGUGUAGCGGUGAAAUGCGUAGAUAUCAGGAGGAACACCGGUGGCGAAGGCGGCCUGCUGGACUGCAACUGACGUUGAGGCCCGAAAGCGUGGGGAGCAAACAGGAUUAGAUACCCCAGUAGUC
rnacentral:rRNA from 1 species